rnacentral:rRNA from 1 species
GAUGAACGCUGGCGGCGUGCCUAAUACAUGCAAGUCGAGCGAACGGACGAGAAGCUUGCUUCUCUGAUGUUAGCGGCGGACGGGUGAGUAACACGUGGAUAACCUACCUAUAAGACUGGGAUAACUUCGGGAAACCGGAGCUAAUACCGGAUAAUAUUUUGAACCGCAUGGUUCAAAAGUGAAAGACGGUCUUGCUGUCACUUAUAGAUGGAUCCGCGCUGCAUUAGCUAGUUGGUAAGGUAACGGCUUACCAAGGCAACGAUGCAUAGCCGACCUGAGAGGGUGAUCGGCCACACUGGAACUGAGACACGGGCCAGACUCCUAAGGGAGGCAGCAGUAGGGAAUCUUCCGCAAUGGGCGAAAGCCUGACGGAGCAACGCCGCGUGAGUGAUGAAGGUCUUCGGAUCGUAAAACUCUGUUAUUAGGGAAGAACAUAUGUGUAAGUAACUGUGCACAUCUUGACGGUACCUAAUCAGAAAGCCACGGCUAACUACGUG